AAUAUUGCACAAUGGGGGGAACUCUGAUGCAGCGACGCCGCGUGAAGGAAGAAGGUUUUCGGAUCGUAAACUUCUAUCAGCAGGGAAGAAAACGACGGUACCUGACUAAGAAGCCCCGGCCAACUACGUGCCAGCAGCCGCGGUAAUACGUAGGGGGCAAGCGUUAUCCGGAAUUACUGGGUGUAAAGGGGGCGUAGGCGGUAAUGAAAGUAAGGUGUGAAAGCCCGAAGCUCAACUUCGGGAUUGCACUUGAAACAUCAUAACUAGAGUACAGGAGAGGUGAGUGGAAUUACUAGUGUAGCGGUGAAAUGCGUAGAUAUAGGAAGGAACAUCAGUGGCGAAGGCGACUACCUGGACUGAUACUGACACUGAGGUGCGAAAGCGUGGGGAGCAAACAGG
rnacentral:rRNA from 1 species